GACAGAAAAUAAGAGAUUUAACAUUCUUCUGGUUCAAAUUAGGCUACCCUGGCAAUUGUUUUGGUGGUAAUUACAAGGACAGUACGGUACCAAGACUUGGACUUUUAAUUAAUAUGGUAACGGUAGACUACCGGUACGGUAUCGUAUCAUUGGACUACGGUAUGCCUUCGCGGUGGAAUUAUUGUGUGGCAAGAUGUAGGCACGAACACGGUAUGUCAAAUUGGGACUGGUAACAUUGCAGCAUUGUGUGGAGCAAGCGAUAAACUAAAAAGUGAAACUGCUAAAGCCAUUUGACUGUUUGAGUGAACUCCGCAGACCUAAGCAAAAAAUAUGAAGAUUAAGGUUAUCUAGUCUUUAGGGAUAUUGCUGCAAUGACUGAAGUGAGUCUAUUUGUGCCAGAAAGGGGAUCAAGAACUUUAUAGUUUGCACUUUCAACAAGAGAGCAAUGCUCAAAUAUAUGGACAUGCAGCCUGAGCGAAGCAGUAGUCCAGCUUACCUUUGACGGUUCGCUAAACACUAGAAGCACCAAUGUUCGCUGACCUCGUGACUCGCUGCGCACGAUGAACCGCCACAUGGUGGCAAUUUUUGAUGAGGUCAUAGCACAAAAGAAAUGAAUUCCAUACAGCUCUCAGAAAUAUUGGAAAUACAUGAAAGUAAUAGC